ACUGGAUCCAAGGCAGCAGCAUGGCAAGACCCUUUGCAGUUCCUGUUGACUUCAGUGGGAGCUGGACUGGCUCCCAGAGCCGGGUUCCCCAACGGAUUUGGGCAUCUGGUUGCUACUCUAUGCACUUAUGUCUGACAUUUCAUCACUCCCAAAAUCCUUGAAAACCUCCAUUCUGCUGCUUCUUAACCUCAGAGGCGCGCAAAAAAAGUACAUGCCCGGAUUUCUACCCGUGAAGUCGGCUCGAUGCCCCUGUUUCUUGCAGUGCAAAUAUCCCCAAAUGCUGACACCCCUCAGUCAUGUGGACCCCAUCUCAUACAUAAGCCCAUAAAAAUUCACAGAGCCAUCUAGCUCAGCAAGCCCAAUUUAUUGUGGGUUUCAGCGCAUGCUACUGAAUUGGGUCUCACUGGAGAGCUUCUGACGAGGAGUGACUUUACAGUUCCCUCCUCUUCAUAUUCAAUAGCCAAAGUAUUUUUCAGGGACACAUGAAAACCAACUCAAAAUCCCUAUUUACCUGUCUAAUAGCACAGCCUGGGCACCCGUCACCUGUGUGCUCGAGUACAGUAGCCAAGAGGAAAUAGGAGAUUCUGGGAAUCAGUCUUUCUCAGUCCCUCCUGCCCUUUCUUUAGCUUUCUUCUAGCAAAUUCAGUGAGAAGUUGCCAUGUUUGGGCACCUAAUUCUUCCUUUUUAUUGUGUAUGGUCCAGCGCGGGAUUCCCCAGCUGGCAGCUGGCUCCAUUUGUGAAUCAAACCCUAAACAUGCACCCGUUGCAUCAAAUGCAAUUCCUGCUUUUUUUUUCAUUUUCACACACAAAGCAAAUAUCUGCAGUACCUGGACACAGGCUGAAGCACAAGAAAUGCAGAAGGAAACUGAAGGAACAGAGUGGGAAAAGGAAAGCACGCUGCACUAGAUUGCACUUUCUUUGCAGCCCGGUGCUGGCAUUACGAGCGCUGAUCUGACAGCUUUGGCCUGCCAAAGCGGAGACGGGAGUACCUUGCUGGCAAAGAGGACGAGGGCUGAAGAGACACCGCCACCAAACGCUACGCCGGGCAAGGCAGCCCCGGGGGGAAGGGGAGCCGCCGGCUGCCACGCACCUCCUUCACCUCCUGCCACACGGCGCCCGACCCUCACGCCGUGCUACCCGCACCCUGAGGAUUUGUAGGGGGGUCUCUCACUUUUCAAAUUAGUUAAACUUUCCAGCAAGUUUCCAUUUCUUCACACUUCCAACCCGGAAGUCUUCCAUCACAGAAUCUAGGGGAAAAGGACUGCUAAUGUGACAUAUAUGCAGCAACUACGUUGUGACAUCAUCAUAUUUAC
rnacentral:lncRNA from 1 species